rnacentral:rRNA from 1 species
CCUACGGGAGGCAGCAGUGGGGAAUAUUGCACAAUGGGGGAAACCCUGAUGCAGCGACGCCGCGUGAGUGAAGAAGGAUUUCGGUAUGUAAAGCUCUAUCAGCAGGGAAGAUAAUGACGGUACCUGACUAAGAAGCCCCGGCUAACUACGAGCAAGCAGCAGCGGUAAUACGUAGGGGGCAAGCGUUAUCCGGAUUUACUGGGUGUAAAGGGAGCGUAGGUGGCAGGGCAAGUGAGAUGUGAAAACCCGGGGCUCAACUCCGGGAGUGCAUUUGAAACUGUCAAGCUAGGGUGCAGGAGGGGUAA